GUCACCACCUUGGGUUCGAAUCCUCACUGCCUUUUAGUUCCAUUCCCUUUUCGAGUACAGUUUCUUGGCAACCACGAAGGGACCCUCGUGCCGUGACCAACUUCAACGCAGAGUGGAUCAGAGAGGGGACGGUGAAUCCACCUAGCGCGCAAUCUUCAACGCAGAGUGGAUCAGAGAGGGGACGGUGAAUCCACCUAGCGCGCAAUCGGGAGAGAGAACCCAGUCCUGCCAACCUCAUCCAGGCCUUGCCCCCGGCCCACCACCAACCUGGAGCUUCGGGGUUUCCUUGGAGCGGCAGGAUUUUGCCAGCUGGAAUUGAACACCCUCCAGCAAGACGCUAUCAGCUGCCAAGCAGUACCUUUAGAUGGUCAAGCCAGCGAUCGUGGACGGUUCUCCCGGUGAGUGACCUGCGGAUGGUGGAACUGACCCCAUGGAGAAUCAACAACCCUACACACGAAUUCCUGCUCUACGUCUCAGAUGGUCCUCGACUGGAUGGAUAAUCUCGUGAGACUCAGGAGGCCUUCGGCCACCAUUAUCGGAAUGAUUUGUGAUCCUGCGGUGGUUACCACACCUAGGAUCAAAGAGGGGAUUGUACUGGAUGAUUUACCAUUCUGUCUCUGUUUUGUCUCCUUUCCAUGUUGUACUAGGCAAUUGACCAUCCUGUCUCCAUUCUUUCUCCUUCCAGUAUUGUACUAGACAUCCUGUCUCAGUUUAAUCUCCUCCUGUGGUAGAUCAAUUAGUUAAGUUUGGGUAAUGUUACCUUAUACGGACCACUCCUAAGAACUGGUUCUGAAUGGAGGGUGGCGUAUGGGCAACCCAAGGGGAUUGGGUGGGAUUUGGGUGUGUGCUGGAAGAGUUGCGGUCGAGUGGAACGUGGAAGUGCUUGCAAAUAAAGGUACCGGGUUCGGGAUGGC